rnacentral:misc_RNA from 1 species
UGUUAUGGUUUUUCAAGCAGUUGAAAUAUUCAGCGUUGACACCAACCAAAAUCAUAUCAUAUGCAGAGCAGCCUAAUUACACGAUAUGGUUGCAGUAUGCGAUUCUUUCACUUCACUGGACUGCAAACAUGACUGCAGGAUCAACCUGUCAUCAAUCCUUAACAGAUUGGAGAUUAGCAUUUAACAUACCAACCCAUGAUCACAGUGCUACUAUGGAGGCUACAGCAAGUAACGCUUUUUGAAUAUUGG